rnacentral:rRNA from 1 species
UACGUAGGGGGCAAGCGUUGUCCGGAUUUAUUGGGCGUAAAGAGCGUGUAGGCGGCCACACAGGUCAGCUGUGAAAACUCGAGGCUCAACCUCGAGACGUCGGUUGAAACCGUAUGGCUAGAGUCCGGAAGAGGAGAGUGGAAUUCCCGGUGUAGCGGUGAAAUGCGCAGAUAUCAGGAGGAACACCGGUGGCGAAGGCGGGUCUCUGGGCCGUAACUGACGCUGAGGAGCGAAAGCGUGGGGAGCGAACAGG